GAUCCUGGCUCAGGAUGAACGCUAGCUACAGGCUUAACACAUGCAAGUCGAGGGGCAGCAUGGUCUUAGCUUGCUAAGGCCGAUGGCGACCGGCGCACGGGUGAGUAACACGUAUCCAACCUGCCGUCUACUCUUGGACAGCCUUCUGAAAGGAAGGUUAAUACAAGAUGGCAUCAUGAGUUCGCAUGUUCACAUGAUUAAAGGUAUUCCGGUAGACGAUAGGGAUGCG
rnacentral:rRNA from 1 species